UUUGACAAACGCUGUAAACUAGUUUUAUAGAGGAAAGUCCAUGCUCACACUAUUCUGAGAUGAUAGUAGUGUUUGUGCUAAGUGAAAAAAUAAGCUUAGGUAGAAGAAAUUCUAACGGCGAAGAAAUAGUCCUAAAUGGAUUAAAGUAUUUAUAAAGUGCCACAGUGACGAUAAUACUUAGUAAUAAGUAUGUGAAACGAGGUAAACCCCACAAGUGAGAAACCCAAAAUAUGGUAGGGGAGCUGAUGUAAGGGAAUAUUGAACUAAACAUCGGAUCGAAAGAUAGAUAAAUGUUUGUCGCCUUAAUGGUUACAGAACAUGGCUUAUAA
rnacentral:RNase_P_RNA from 1 species